rnacentral:rRNA from 1 species
CAGCCGCCGCGGUAAUACGUAGGUGGCAAGCGUUGUCCGGAAUUAUUGGGCGUAAAGGGCUCGCAGGCGGUUUCUUAAGUCUGAUGUGAAAGCCCCCGGCUCAACCGGGGAGGGUCAUUGGAAACUGGGAAACUUGAGUGCAGAAGAGGAGAGUGGAAUUCCAUGUGUAGCGCUGAAAUGCGUAGAUAUAUGGAGGAACACCAGUGGCGAAGGCGACUCUCUGGUCUGUAACUGACGCUGAGGCUCGAAAGCGUGGGUAGCAAACAGGAUUAGAUACCCCCGUAGUCCCUGUCUCUUAUAC